rnacentral:misc_RNA from 1 species
AAUCCAAGAAUUUCACCUCCAACACCGUAAUACGAAUGCCCCCGUCUGUCCCUCUUAAUCAUUACCUCGAGUUCCGAAAACCAACAAAAUAGAACCGAGGUCCUAUUCCAUUAUUCCAUGCACCAUUAUUCAGGCGAAGCGCCUGCUUUGAACACUCUAAUUUUUUCAAAGUAAACGUUCCGGCCACCCGAGACACUCAAUGAAGAGCACCAAGGGAAAACCGGCGGGUAGGUCCGGACGGGCAGUAAGCACCGCGAAGUGAACCGCGAGCCGGGACCUGAGAUCCAACUACGAGCUUUUUAACUGCAACAACUUUAAUAUACGCUAUUGGAGCUGGAAUUACCGC